AUUGAACGCUGGCGGCAGGCCUAACACAUGCAAGUCGAGCGGAUGAAGGGAGCUUGCUCCUGGAUUCAGCGGCGGACGGGUGAGUAAUGCCUAGGAAUCUGCCUGGUAGUGGGGGAUAACGUCCGGAAACGGGCGCUAAUACCGCAUACUGCCUGAGGGAGAAAGUGGGGGAGCUUCGGACCUCACGCUAUCAGAUGAGCCUAGGUCGGAUUAGCUAGUUGGUGGGGUAAAGGCCUACCAAGGCGACGAUCCGUAACUGGUCCGAGAGGAUGAUCAGUCACACUGGAGCUGAGACACGGACCAGACUCCUGCGGGAGGCAGCAGUGGGGAAUAUUGGACAAUGGGCGAAAGCCUGAUCCAGCCAUGCCGAGUGUGUGAAGAAGGUCUUCGGAUUGUAAAGCACUUUAAGUUGGGGGGAAGGGCAGUAAGUUAAUACCUUGCUGUUUUGACGUUACCAGCAGAAUAAGCACCGGCUAACUUCGUG
rnacentral:rRNA from 1 species